GAUGAACGCUAGCUACAGGCUUAACACAUGCAAGUCGCGGGGCAGCAUGGGGGUUGCUUGCAAUCCCCGAUGGCGACCGGCGCACGGGUGAGUAACGCGUAUCCAACCUGCCCUUCACCACGGGAUAACCCGGCGAAAGUCGGACUAAUACCGUAUGUUGUCCAUUGACGGCCUCCGAUUUGGACGAAAGGUUUGGCGGUGGAUGCGGUGGAGGCGGCUGAUUAGCUGGACGGCGGGGUGACGGCCCACCGUGGCGACGAUCGGUAGGGGUUCUGAGAGGAAGGUCCCCCACACUGGAACUGAGACACGGUCCAGACUCCUACGGGAGGCAGCAGUGAGGAAUAUUGGUCAAUGGGCGUAAGCCUGAACCAGCCAAGUAGCGUGCAGGAUGACGGCCCUAUGGGUUGUAAACUGCUUUUAUGCGGGGAUAAAGUGGCCCACGUGUGGGUUUUUGCAGGUACCGCAUGAAUAAGGACCGGCUAAUUCCGU
rnacentral:rRNA from 1 species